CUUGACGAGGCAUCCUGUGGUUGGCCCACAAGAUCAUAUUAGUUUCAUUACGUAUCGCCUUUUAACUUUAGUUUUAGUUAAAGUUUGUAGGUUAAAGAUUGUAGUUGUCACAAGGAUUCGCCACCAUGAAAGCGUUAACUAUUUUAAUAGCAGCUGUGCUAUCAGCAACGGUAACAACAGCCCAGACAAGUGGUUGGUCUGGCAUAGCUAGCUGUGUAAUUAUAAUAGCUAAUGAUAGUAGUAUAAUACCACUGCCAACAGAUACACCUAUGUCACAGAAUUAUACUCUACAAGCAUUUAAAGCUGUCUGCAACAACAAAGAUUCUUUUAUUGACUGUGUUGAUAAAAGCUUAAGUUCUGAGAAAGAUGCUACCAUAUCUUUAUUUAAACCACUAUUUGACGUAACAACAGUGACUGAUGCUUAUACUGGAUUAUGUAACAGCAUAACUGAUGUUGAAAAUGAGGAUAAUUUAAGUUGUUUAACUAACACCACUGCCUUGAUGCCUUGUUAUGCCCAGUUUAACAGUUAUUUUGAAUAUCUGUCUGUAUUUAUGAGACUUGGUUCUGGUGAAGAUAAGAUGGUUUCCGAUGCCGCCACAAGAUCAUUUAUCUGCACGUUGGCAAAGAGACGUAUUGAAUGUGAGGUGAGCGUACUGAAACAAUGCAGUGUAAAAAUGAGUGACGUCAUGGGAACCUUUUAUGAGAGAAGUUUACCAGCUGCCUGUAGAGAUAGUGAUGACCAGGGCAAAAUGAUGCCAACUCCAACUAUGUAAUAACAGAGUUACCUAACUUAGUUAUACGUGUAUCAUAAAUCGUGACGUCAUAAUGUAUUAUAUCUGUUAAAUUCAAUUCAUCAGACGUAAAUGUAAUUCUGUUUUAUAAGUUGAAUAUUAAUUUAAGGGUGUUCAGUAGUGCAGUUAGUUUCGGAGAUAUAAUUAACUUGCAAAUAAUGGCUUCCCGACGUUUUCUGAACACUCGCUUUCGAAUAUUUCGACGAUUUAAAUCGAUUGGCUGAAACGCAUUGAGUAUUCCGAAUGAUAAAUGUAUAUAUUAGUCUGUAGCCUUAAUUUAUGUCAUUAAUAUUUAAUUAUAUUAAUAUCAAGUUGAAUAAAAUUUCAAUGCAUUUGUA